rnacentral:rRNA from 1 species
CAGUCGCCACGGGAAUACAGAGGGUGCGAGCGUUAAUCGGAUUUACUGGGCGUAAAGCGUGCGUAGGCGGCUUUUUAAGUCGGAUGUGAAAUCCCUGAGCUUAACUUAGGAAUUGCAUUCGAUACUGGGAAGCUAGAGUAUGGGAGAGGAUGGUAAAAUUCCAGGUGUAGCGGUGAAAUGCGUAGAGAUCUGGAGGAAUACCGAUGGCGAAGGCAGCCAUCUGGCCUAAUACUGACGCUGAGGUACGAAAGCAUGGGGAGCAAACAGGAUUAGAUACCCCAGUAGUCCCUGUCUCUUAUAC